rnacentral:rRNA from 1 species
AGAGUUUGAUCAUGGCUCAGAACGAACGCUGGCGGCGUGGCUAAGACAUGCAAGUCGAACGGAUCAGUGUAUUUAUAUAUUGGUUAGUGGCGAAAGGGUGAGUAAUGGAUAGGUAACGUACCCUGUACUCCGGGAUAGCGUCGGGUGCUUGCACCCUACCGAAAGGGGCAUUAAUACCGGAUAAUGUCAUUUGUCGAUAGGCGAAUGACCAAAGAUUUAUUGGUGCGGGAGCGGCCUAUCUCCUAUCAGCUAGUUGGUGAGGUAACGGCCCACCAAGGCGAAGACGGGUAGCGGGACUGAGAGGUUGGCCCGCCACAUCGGGACUGAGACACUGCCCGGACCCCCACGGGGGGCUGCAGUAACGAAUAUUGGGCAAUGGGCGAAAGCCUGACCCAGCGACGCCGCGUGUAGGAGGAAGUCCUUCGGGAUGUAAACUACUGUCAGGGGGAAGAAAGUGCGCUUCGGCGCAUUUGAUCUAACCCAGAGGAAGUCACGGCUAACUUCGUGCCAGCAGCCGCGGUAAGACGAAGGUGGCUAGCGUUGUUCGGUAUCACUGGGCUUAAAGCGUGUGUAGGCGGAAGCGUAAGCGUUUUGUGAAAUCCCUCGGCUUAACCGAGGAAUCGCUUGACGAACUGCGUUUCUUGAGGCAGGUAGGGGUGCGCAGAACUCUUGGUGGAGCGGUGGAAUGCGUAGAUAUCAAGAGGAAUGCCGGUGGAGAAGUCGGUGCACUGGGCCUGACCUGACGCUGAGACACGAAAGCGUGGGGAGCGAACGGGAUUAGAUACCCCAGUAGUCC